rnacentral:siRNA from 1 species
AGGGUCCGAAUGGUAACACCGUA